AGACUGCUGUGCUAGCAAUCAGCCAGACUCCGUGGGCGUGGGACCCUCCAAGCCAGGUGUGGGAUAUAAUCUCGUGGUGCGGCGUUUUUUAAGCCCGUCGGAAAAGCGCAGUAUUCGGGUGGGAGUGACCCGAUUUUCCAGGUUUUGGAUUUCUUCAUGGUUCAAUCUAGAUGCAGCUGCCACUGGGAGCCCUGUGCCUUAGCCAUGGUCAACCCACCAUGUUCUUUGACAUCGCCAUCAACGUUGGUGUCUCCCUCUGUCACCCAGGCUGGAUGGAGUGCAAUGGUGUGAUCUCGGCUCAGUGCAACCUCUACCUCCCAAGUUCCAGCGAUUCUCCUGCCUCAGCCUCCAGAGUAGCUGACAUUACAGGUGCCAUGCCCAACUAUGGGGAUUCACCAUGUUGGCCAGGCUGGUCUCGAACUCCUGACCUCAAGUGAUCUGCCCACCUCAGCUUCCCAAAGUCCUGGGAUUAUAGGCAUGAGCCACUGCUCCAAGCUGAGAGCAAUCAGGGAUCAUUCUUCAGCGUCCUGAAGAGUGUUUUCUUUGUCGCUGCUUCGCAGG
ensembl:lncRNA novel transcript